rnacentral:RNase_P_RNA from 2 species
GAAGCUGACCAGACAGUCGCCGCUUUAUCGCCUUCGGGUGAUAUUGGGGAGGAAAGUCCGGGCUCCACAGGGCAGGGUGCCAGGUAACGCCUGGGAGGCGCAAGCCUACGACCAGUGCAACAGAGAGCAAACCGCCGAUGGCCCGCAAGGGAUCAGGUAAGGGUGAAAGGGUGCGGUAAGAGCGCACCGCGCGGCUGGUAACAGUUCGCGGCACGGUAAACUCCACCCGGAGCAAGGCCAAAUAGGGGUUCACAUGGUACGGCCCGUACUGAACCCGGGUAGGCUGCUUGAGCCAGUGAGCGAUUGCUGGCCUAGAUGAAUGACUGUCCACGACAGAACCCGGCUUAUCGGUCAGCUUCGCAC